CCUAACGAAGUGGCCGGAUUUGCUUGCAGUGAGACAGAGGAGAGGCCUUUCCCCUCCCCCUCAAUGCAGAUAGCGAUCCGGUUGUUGACAGGAGGGGAAUGGCUGUCAGCUUGGGGGGGCCGCUCUGACUGAGGGGUGCAGUGAGCCAGAACAUUAUUUUGAUACAGAAUUAUGGAUGGAAGUUUGGUAACAGCGUUGGAAAAUCUCUACAGGGAAAAGGAGAAUAUUGUAGAAGAGAAGACUGAGUUACGGACUACUAGAAUUGAAAGGAUUGAGGUAUGCAGCAGAGGGAUUCCUCAGUAUGGAAUUGUAAUGCACCAUCAUCGGCAUAAAGCAACUCUGUUACGCGAACUCGGCAUACAUUUCUCUCAGAUCUGAAGCAAGCAAGGCGGAACAGUCCU